rnacentral:rRNA from 1 species
AGACCGGUUUAUUGGUCGUGCUUUUGUAUGUACUGGUAUUAUUGGUUUCUCCUUUCUGACGAAUCUUAAUGCCGUUGAUUUGGUGUUUUGGGGAAUCAGGACUGUUACUUUGAAAAAAUUAGAGUGUUUAAAGCAGGCUCACGCUUGAAUACAUUAGCAUGAAAUAACGGAAUAGGACGUUUGAUUCUAUUUUGUUGGUUUCUAGGAUCGACGUA